ACUCCUACGGGAGGCAGCAGUAAGGAAUAUUGGUCAAUGGAGGCAACUCUGAACCAGCCAUGCCGCGUGCAGGAUGACUGCCCUAUGGGUUGUAAACUGCUUUUUCUACAGGAAGAAACGCUAUGAUUCAUCAUAGUUUGACGGUAUUGUAGGAAUAAGCACCGGCUAACUCCGUGCCAGCAGCCGCGGUAAUACGGAGGGUGCAAGCGUUAUCCGGAUUUAUUGGGUUUAAAGGGUGCGUAGGCGGGCAAAUAAGUCAGUGGUGAAAUGCUGUGGCUCAACCAUAUGCACUGCCAUAGAUACUGUUUGUGCUUAGGAUAAGGAAGAAGCUGGCAGGAAUGUAACAUGUAGCGGAUGAAAUGCAUAGAUAUGUUACAGAACACCGAUUGCGAAGGCAGCUGGCUAUACCUUAAUCGACGCUGAGGCACGAAAGCGUGGGUAGCGAACAGGAUUAGAUACCCUGGUAGCUACGAGU
rnacentral:rRNA from 1 species